rnacentral:rRNA from 1 species
AACGUAGGAGACAAACGUUAUCUGGAGUUACUGGGCGUAAAGGGCGUGUAGGCGGUUAGUUAAGUCUGGCGUGAAAGCUCUCGGCUAAACCGGGAGAGGUCGUUGGAUACUGGCAAACUUGAGGACGGUAGAGGCGUGUGGAAUUCCGGGUGUAGUGGUGAAAUGCGUAGAGAUCCGGAGGAACACCAGUGGCGAAGGCGACACGCUGGGCCGUACCUGACGCUAAAGCGCGACAGCAUGGGGAGCAAACGGG